rnacentral:rRNA from 1 species
CAGUAGCCGCGGUAAUACGUAGGUGGCAAGCGUUGUCCGGAAUUAUUGGGCGUAAAGGGCUCGCAGGCGGUUUCUUAAGUCUGAUGUGGAAGCCCCCGGCUCAACCGGGGAGGGUCAUUGGAAACUGGGAAACUUGAGUGCAGAAGAGGAGAGUGGAAUUCCACGUGUAGCGGUGAAAUGCGUAGAGAUGUGGAGGAACACCAGUGGCGAAGGCGACUCUCUGGUCUGUAACUGACGCUGAGGAGCGAAAGCGUGGGGAGCGAACAGGAUUAGAUACCCCGGUAGUCCCUGUCUCUUAUAC